UCCACGGCGACGCGGAAUCUGAAGGAAGCCGAUGGCAAACCUCAUCAGGGUCCUUGCU
rfam:Desmospora sp. 8437 genomic scaffold SCAFFOLD1, whole genome shotgun sequence.